rnacentral:tRNA from 1 species
AUGUUUUUAGUAUAAAUAGUAUAUCAAAUUUAGAUUUUGAAGGUAAAUUUAACAUA